rnacentral:rRNA from 1 species
UACGUAGGGGGGCAAGCGGUUGUCCGGAUUUAUUGGGCGUAAAGAGCGUGUAGGCGGUUUGGUAGGUCCGUUGUGAAAACUCGAGGCUCAACCUCGAGACGCCGGCGGAAACCAUCAGGCUAGAGUCCGGAAGAGGAGAGUGGAAUUCCUGGUGUAGCGGUGAAAUGCGCAGAUAUCAGGAAGAACACCCGUGGCUAAGGCGGCUCUCUAGUACGGUACUGACGCUGAGACGCGAAAGCGUGGGGAGCGAACAGG